AAUGGGAUAACCAGGUUAAAUGGUGGUUCCAUUCCAACUUUUCUGAGCAAUCCCCAUACUUCUUUCCAGAGUGGUUGCACCAAUUUACAUUCCCACUAGCAAU
rnacentral:pre_miRNA from 1 species